rnacentral:tRNA from 28 species
GGAGAGGUGUCCGAGUGGCUGAAGGAGCACGCCUGGAAAGUGUGUAUACGGCAACGUAUCGAGGGUUCGAAUCCCUCUCUCUCCGCCA